UACGUAGGUGGCAAGCGUUGUCCGGAUUUACUGGGUGUAAAGGGCGUGUAGCCGGGCUGACAAGUCAGAUGUGAAAUCCGGGGGCUCAACCCCCGAACUGCAUUUGAAACUGUUGGUCUUGAGUACUGGGGAGGCAGACGGAAUUCCUAGUGUAGCGGUGAAAUGCGUAGAUAUUAGGAGGAACACCAGUGGCGAAGGCGGUCUGCUGGACAGCAACUGACGGUGAGGCGCGAAAGCGUGGGGAGCAAACAGG
rnacentral:rRNA from 1 species